rnacentral:lncRNA from 10 species
GCCGCUGGGAAAUGCUGUCCCCGCGCAAUGCUUCUGUCAUUCUUAACCUUCAAGUCCCAACGGGUCUGCUUAAAACAGAUAACUUCAUUAAACUGCCAAGUUGAGUGAGAUAUUCCUGUGUACUCAGUAAUUAGUAACUGCUGUAGCGUUCUCCCAUCUACCAAUUAAACACCAUCAUUUUGCCUCUUACUGUGUAUGCUUGAGCUCACUCACCCAAAUCCUGAGAUCUUAUCCGGAAGCUGCUAAUCACCAGCUUCAGAUAUUUUCUAUUGGGAAAUUGCCUUUCCCUCGUGCUGGCUGUGACCGAUUAUUAUUGGUCUAAAAUAAACAGUUUAACAGCCGCCUGACCAUCCCCUGAUGGCUGCCUGACUUUCCUGGUUGUAGGGGCCCUCUCCUGCCCUGCUCACGUCUGCCUGACUACCUACUGUAAGGAUCCUUCCUUCCUCACCGCCCCUUAGACACACAAGGCUGUGGAGUUUAGCAAACUUUACUAACGGUUAACUGGUGGAAAGAGACCAGCACAACACAGGCACCAUCUUAAAAUGGAAAACACUGGCCAUGGCUUCCCUAAAAAGUAACCUAUUGUUCUCCUUGCGGGGAGUUUCUUUUCUGAUUGGUUGGAAUCUGCUGGGCAUGGGGAGUUUCUUUUCUGAUUGGUUGGAAUCUGCUGGGCACCUCCUCUCCCCUCUACAGACCCUUCUCCCCUAUGGCCAGCCUCCAGCCCCCACAUUUUUAUCAAGGGCUUAUAAUGAGCCUUUGUGUUCUCUUCCUGCCACCCAAACCAGGCUCCCCACCUGGCUUUCCAUAUCUACAAGCGCGCAGAGAUGCUGUGGUUUCCAUCCUCAACAACACAAAUCACUACAGAAACUCUGAGAUGGCCCUUCUGGGUCAGAAUCAUAGGUAGGGCUCUCACACAACCUCUGCCCAGAGCACCCCGGGAGUCUCCUUCCUGUGAUAGCAUCCACUGGCUUUAUCAGGUUACCCCGCCCCAGGCAUCCUGGUAGACCCCUUUCCCUCUUCCCUCUGCCCUCCCCUCACCCAAGCUGAGAAUCAUUGCUCUAAGCUGACAGUCUAACUGCGGAAGCAGCAUGGAACAAAGGCAGGAGUGGGUUGGAAUCUAGCUUCCCUAUGAAUAGCUCUACAACCCUGGGUGAGUUUCUGUCACGGAUUUAUCUGUUUCCCCAGCAUGCAUUUCCCCCUUUCCCAAUUUAUAGCCCCCUACUCGCCACUCCAGUUCCAGCGGGAAUCAAGUGGUCCUAGGAAGCUAAUGAGUGUAU